rnacentral:lncRNA from 1 species
UUUAAUUAAAUUUAAAUUAACUUACACAAUAUUCUAUAUAUUAUUCUCUUUAUCACAUAAAUAAUUUGAUUAAUUGAAAUGAAAUUUUUUAAUUUUUAGAAUAAAAAAUUUUAAUAUUAAAUAUUUAUUUUUAAUAAUUAAACUUAAUAUAAAAAUAUAAAAUAAAUUUAAUAUUAAAAAAUAUAAUAAAAUUUAUCGGUAUUUUUUUAAUAAUAAUAAAAAAAGAAAUUUUUUUGAAUUUAAUUGAGAAUUCAAAUGAAUAUAUAAGUGUUAAAUAAGAGGGAUUUAUUUAAUAUUUAUAUUGAAAUGGUUUUAUGCGGACGUGGCCGACUCAUUCCACGUGAUAAGUGAUGAAAAAGUUAUACAGAUCUGUUUUCUGUAUUCUUAAAAAAAAAAAAAACACAGCUCCCGAGAUCGAGCUAAGCAGCGUGGGCUGUGGAUAAAGUUUCGUUGACUCAAGGCUGAAGUCGCUUUUUUCCCGCCCUUUUUUUGUCGAAGACUGAAGGCUGAAGCUACUGAUCAGAAUUCAUGGGUAUUACCUGGAAUUUUCCAACCAAGCAGUCGGGCAACGUCUGGUCGUUUGACAUGUCAAAAACUGAUUGGUUUUGCUUUUUAACUUUUGUUGUGAUUAUUUGACGUUUAGAUUUUUCUAUUAUAGAUUUUCUCAAUGAAAAUAAAAUCUUUUUCAGAAUUUUAAGGUUUAAUUAAAAUUACACUAAAAAGUUGAUAAAUAUGAAGAUUU